rnacentral:rRNA from 1 species
GACGUAGGGCGCGAGCGUUGUCCGGAUUUAUUGGGCGUAAAGAGCUCGUAGGCGGUUUGUCGCGUCGGGAGUGAAAACCAUGGGCUUAACUCAUGGCUUGCUUUCGAUACGGGCAGACUAGAGGUAUGCAGGGGAGAACGGAAUUCCUGGUGUAGCGGUGAAAUGCGCAGAUAUCAGGAGGAACACCGGUGGCGAAGGCGGGUCUCUGGGCAGUAACUGACGCUGAGGAGCGAAAGCGUGGGGAGCGAACAGG